GGGAUUUUUGGCCCCAAAAUCUUGCAAAGAAAUAAUUUUUUUUGCUACUAUUUAGUUGGCCUAAUAAAAGAUAUGGCUUCUAGCCCAAGAGCUUUGUCUGUUUCAAAA